rnacentral:rRNA from 1 species
GCCUAGGAAUCUGCCUAGUAGUGGGGGAUAACGUCCGGAAACGGGCGCUAAUACCGCAUACGUCCUACGGGAGAAAGUGGGGGAUCUUCGGACCUCACGCUAUUAGAUGAGCCUAGGUCGGAUUAGCUAGUUGGUGAGGUAAUGGCUCACCAAGGCGACGAUCCGUAACUGGUCUGAGAGGAUGAUCAGUCACACUGGAACUGAGACACGGUCCANACUCCUACGGGAGGCAGCAGUGGGGAAUAUUGGACAAUGGGCGAAAGCCUGAUCCAGCCAUGCCGCGUGUGUGAAGAAGGUCUUCGGAUUGUAAAGCACUUUAAGUUGGGAGGAAGGGCAGUUACCUAAUACGUGAUUGUUUUGACGUUACCGACAGAAUAAGCACCGGCUAACUCUGUGCCA